ensembl:lncRNA
GCAAGUUACAGGAGUGCCUCUAGUAUUUCAAAAAUGACGACGGCAAUAAGGCAGUUUAAAGGAAGUAGAUUUGAUAAUUAAUGGUGCAAGAUAAUGGCGUUUGAUGAAUACAGCUUAAUUUUUACCGAGUACUUUCGCUAAGACCAUUUGACGUCCUGAUAAUUUGAACAUAACUAUACUGUUUGAUACUUUUUUUUUAAAUGAGUAGGAAACGCCGUUAUCAGUAACUUCUAACUUGAAUGUUAAAUCGAACUUGAGUCGGUUCCUACCCUUUAAAAGUUAAAAUUCAUAUUGUAUUUAAAAGGAUGCAUACUAUUAGAAACCGUGACCGUAAAAGUUAAGGAAUAUUCUAAAAGCACAGCUCUUCGUGAAGUUACUUUCCUUAGUGUAAAUAGUGAAGUAGGACUGUCGGUGAUGGGCGAUGAAGAGGGGCCAUAUUUGUUGCAUUUGUUGCAUGUAUAAAAGUGGAGAUGUGCUUAAAAACGGAACAGUAUUGAAAAAACAGUUCUAAAAAACUGUUUUCUGCAUACUCAUUUAAAAAUUAUUUGUGGUAAUUUAGGAAGAGUCGUUGGAAGAAGAAAUUAGGAAUGCUCAUACCUUUGUGUAUUUUUAAAUAUAUUUUCCUCAUUCUGCGGAGCUCUUGUGCUGUAAAGGUGAAGAACUGCGUAAAGACAGUGUUGGGGAGACUUACGUAGUACCUCUAAAAUCAAAGGUAUCUUAGAAGAUGGUAAUGUGGUUGCCGAUGAUUCUGAAUAAAUACAGCUUUUAUCCCAGGUGUGCCAUUCUGAAGACUGAGACAAUAGAGUUUUUAAGAAUAAAAGAGAACCCUUGGGAAAUUCUGUAUUGUAUAUAUCAAAAAUAUGAAUCCUGAGGUGGAAUGAAAGGCGUGUAUACUAUAGACAUCGAAGCAUUUACACCCAGCUUGAAGAGUUUGAAAUGGACUUUACCACUGAGAAAUCAAGAUGGCAGCCCAUUAUGGGGAAUUGAGGAAAAUGGAUUAAUGCAAGAAUGCUGUGAUAUUACACAACCAACACAGGAUUCUUUUAAUAUGGAUGCCAUGAAAUGAAUGAUUCUUACCCAACACAAAUGGACAGUGGAAUUUACUUCCUAAAGACUUGUUUCGUAUCAUGUACAUUUUUGACAUCUGGAGAAGAUGCUACAUUUCUACAAAUGGUAGUUUGUAUUCCUGUAGAUUCUUGCCGUUUGCUCUGAGUGACCUUAUGGAAUGUUAACUUUAAUAAAAUUCUAAAACUUAAAAAAUUCUCAGUUUGGGCCUUUUAUAAAACUUUUUUUCACCGUGGAUGUUUUCAUUAAAUGUUUCAUUAAAGGUGAAAGAAAACCUUGAUGACAUUUUGACCUUUAUAGUUGCUUUUCAUUAAAAUAUACUGAAUAAAGCUGGUAAAAUGGAAUGGUUUUGUUUGUUUGGGAUUUAUGUGUAUUAGAAAACCUGGGUUUUCCUGUGCUUAAGUGGAAUGGUCCUUUGGUUAAAAUAGAUAUAUUCUCUCUUUCUCCCCCUCCUUCCCCUUUCUUCUUUUUCUUUUCUUUUUUCUUUUCCAG